rnacentral:rRNA from 1 species
AGCAGUUGUGGCGCCAGCCGCAGUGCUGCGUAGCUAUGUACGGACGGGAUAACCGCUGAAAGCAUCUAAGCGGGAAACCCACCUCGAAACGAGUUCUCCCUUAAGAGCCGUGGUAGACCACCACGUUGAUAGGCCGGGUGUGUAAGCGCGGCAACGCGUUCAGCUUACCGGUACUAAUAGCUCGAUUGAGCUUGAUCGCGCUCAUCUU